GAGGGUAUAGCUCAGUGGUAGAGCACGUGCUUAGCAUGCAGGAGGUCAUGGGUUCAGUCCCCAGUACCUCCA
rnacentral:tRNA from 1 species